GACGAACGCUGGCGGCGUGCUUAACACAUGCAAGUCGAACGGAAAGGCCCUGCUUUUGUGGGGUGCUCGAGUGGCGAACGGGUGAGUAACACGUGAGUAACCUGCCCUUGACUUUGGGAUAACUUCAGGAAACUGGGGCUAAUACCGGAUAGGAGCUCCUGCUGCGUGGUGGGGGUUGGAAAGUUUCGGCGGUUGGGGAUGGACUCGCGGCUUAUCAGCUUGUUGGUGGGGUAGUGGCUUACCAAGGCUUUGACGGGUAGCCGGCCUGAGAGGGUGACCGGCCACAUUGGGACUGAGAGACGGCCCAGACGCCUACGGGAGGCAGAAGUGGGGAAUAUUGCACAAUGGGCGGAAGCCUGAUGCAGCAACGCCGCGUGCGGGAUGACGGCCUUCGGGUUGUAAACCGCUUUCGCCUGUGACGAAGCGUGAGUGACGGUAAUGGGUAAAGAAGCACCGGCUAACUACGUG
rnacentral:rRNA from 1 species